UAGCUCCAGACGUGAUCGUGCAGCCUGGGCAUCGGCGGCUAGGCACACCGUGAGAGGUGCACGCCACCAAAGCACGCGUAGCGCGCCCGGACGGCCCAGGAGCGGCCGCGGCCCCGCGCGGGUUCCGCUUAUAAGGUUUCAGCACUGACGCCGCUGUGUGCAAGAUAUGACUAGAGCCUCUCCUAUCUUCACCUCCAUCAACUGCGCAGAGACAGAUGGCUCCUGAUGUGCUUUUCAUCCACUGAUUACCUGUGUUCUCGAAUGCAUUACUUUAUGUAAUGUAAUAAUUUAAAUGUUUCUUAGAUUUAUUUUAUUUCAUCUAUAUGAAGGUCUUACCUGCGUAUAUGUAUGUCUGCCACAUGCAUGCCUGGUGCCCUUGGAGGCCAGAAGAUGGCAUUUGAUCUCCUGAAGCUGGAAUCUUAAUGUCUGUGAGCCACCAUUUUGGUGUUGGGACCUCUGCAAGACCAGCAAGUAUUCUCAACCAUGGAGCCGUGUCUCCUACUCCAUCUGCUUAUUAUUUAGCCAGAGCUGAUGUCAAAUGAUAUGAAGGAGGGCCAGGGUGCAUCUUAGCAGGCUUGGUCUGCUUAGGACGUGAGGGCCCUGGUCCAUCGCUAGCCUCAGAGAUGCUAUCCACUCAUGCUGCACUUCAGCCUUGCUGUGGUGUUCAGUAUCCAAUAGCAGUUUUAAAGCAAGACGGUGCUGUUAAUAAGUAAGGCCAGAAUAUGCACUAGUGUCUCCUUUACUUUGGUUUUGCUAUAUCUUAAAUUUUGCUGAAUAGCAAUUUAAUCUAGGCCAUGGAUUUAAUUUUUACAAUAAGCAGAAUCCUAGGAAUUAUAAUUUGGACUGAUUUCAUGCUUAGAUAAGGGUGUAAAAGUUUCUAGCAUGGAGAGUAAAAAAAGAGAUUAGCCUCUCUGCCUCCUUCUCAAGGUCAUCAUUAUUCUCUGACCAGAGGGCAAAGGGGAGGCCCACUGGGAGGCUGGGGGUGUGGCUGCCACGGGACAUCACAAGCUGCACCGGACCUACCCGCUUGUAAUCAAGAGUAGAUAGGCUCAGGGCACCUGGGGGCCAGCCAGGUGUCUGCUAGCUUCGGUGACACCCAGGAGUGCUGGAAAAAUGAGUUACACAGGAACAAUGAACCCUUUAGCCCAAGUUCACUGCCUCUCACCUAUUGGCAGCACUUUACUUCUGGGUCAGAAUAGCUUGGGGUGGUGAGGAGUGGACUGCUGCCCUGAUUGGCUGAGUCCUCACAGCUCACCCUUGUAGACAAAUAGAAUGUUCUAAAGAGAACAUACUGUAGCUGACUGGGACGGAUUGGAGGGAACUCCGAGUGGAGACAGAUCUUGUUUUUCUGCCUAUUCACUCGUUCUUUUAAUGGAAAAAAGAGAAGCCCGAUGUCAAAGGUGACAUACAAAGGUCUGUGUCUUCUGCAAGGGUCACUUGUCUUGUUGCUGUGACAAAAUCAACUUAUGGGAGGAAGGGUUUAUUUUGGCCUGAGGGUGUAUGCCAUCACAGGAGGGGAGGUGUGGCAGCCUGAGUGUGAGGCUCCUGUGGUCAGGAAGCAGAACGGUGAGCUCAGCGGACUUCCUCCUGUUUUUAGUCCAGGAUAGCCCACACUAGUAGUGCUUCUCACUUCAGCAAACCCAGUCUAGGGGAUCCUCAUAGUCAUGCUCAGCAGUUUGCCUCUCAGUGCUUCUAGGUCCUGUCCAGUUGGCAAUGAUAAACAUCACCGUUUCUGUCUGAACUGAGGCACCAGCCACAUGCAGUUACCCGGGAGUAGAUGAUUUGUAAAGAACCCCCCAAAGUGGGCUUUUCAAAACUGGGAUCUAGGUCUGUGGGCCUCAGAGAAGGAUAUUCAGCCAUUGAACCCAUGGCAAGUCCUACACCUGAACCCCGAGGCUAAGACAGCCCAGAACUUUACAUUUUCCCCAGCCCUCUGCUGGUGGCCCCGAUGCAGGAUGUAGGCUGAUUCAAAACCAGGCUUAGGUAAGCCUCAGGUAAACAUUGUCCUGUCAGAAAUCCAUUUUCUCCUGUGCCUGGGUUUGCGUACACUCAUUCUUUCAGCAUCACUUGGCAUCUGUUGUCACUGGCACUUGUUUUGCCCCCAAGGAAAACGUAGUUGCCUCCUGGGUGAAGAUCCUGGUUCUUCUGCUAGGCAGUUAAACUGCUAGUUACAACAUCAAGGAAAAGUAGUUUUGUAGGACAUGGUUUAUUACCAGUUUUAUGUGCUGAGAUGACAUGUAUGUAACAGACGCUUACUCUACCCUGAGGGUCCACAGCCGAGGACUUAAUAAUCGACACCAGGAAAAUGCUUGUGGAAACAGAGGAGCGCAGUGUUCAGAACAUGGAUGGCUGUCCCCAGCUGCUGUCCCAGGUCUGUCGGUCAACAGGUUUCAGCAAAGCUGAGGCUCACACCUACCAAGAACUCCUCAGAACCCAUGUUUCAACAGCUCCUGGGGGUUCAUCUAAUCCUGGGGUGCUCUGAACUCAAAGUCUUUGCCUUCUGCACAACUAGAGAUAUUUAUUAAAUAUAUCAAGUUUUGGGGGCUGGGAAGAUGUCUCAGUAGUUAAGAGCACAGGCUGCUCUUCUAUAGGACCUAGGUUUGAUUCUCAGCACCCACAUGGUGGCUCACAACCAUUUCUAGUUCGGUUCCAAGGGAUCCCACACCUCAUCCCUCCAACCCCCCACCUCCAAGGGCACCAGGCAUGAAUGUUGUAUACUGUCAUGUAAGCAGACAAAACACCUACACACAUAAAAAAUAAAAAGACACAAUCUGGCUGGCCGUGCCGUGUGAUUCCACAAUAGAGGCUUACAUAGCAUAUGAUGCCCUGUCUUCUGCCUGUACCACCAUAAGAAACACAAAGUAAAAACAGAACAGAAAAAUCUUGUAUUCCUUUACAUUUAAAAAAUUUACUUAUUUUAUUUAUAUGAGUACACUGUCACUGUCUUCACACACACCAGAAGAGGGCAUUGGAUCCCAUAGCAGAUGGUUAUGAGCCACUAAGUGGUUGCUGGGAAUUGAACUCAGGUCCUCUGGAAGAUGAAUCAGUGUUCUUGACUGCUGAACCACCUCCCAAGCUCCCCUCUUACCUUUUUAUUAAAAUGUUUUUAAUUUAAUUUUUAUUUUAUUUGUAUGAAUGUUUCCCCUGCAUGCACGUGUGUGCCUGGUGCCCGGGGAAGCCAAGGCCAGAGAGAGUUUUGGGUCUGCUAGAACUUAGUGACAGAUGUUUGUGAGCCACCAUGUGGUUGCUGGGAACUGAACCCAGGACCUCUGCUAGAGCAGCCAGUGCUCUUCACCACUGGGCCAUCUCUCUAGUGCCUUCUAAACCUUUUAAUUCACUGAAAACCCAGCUGCGAUAAAAAGAAGACUCAUUACUCCCCACAGAAAUAACCCUCAGGUGUAUGCUGGGUUACAUGCAACUGAGUCUGGGAGGUGGAGUCAGGGAUUACUAAUUCAAGGUCAUCCUUAGCUGUGUGGCUCACCGGCCAGCUGGGGCUGCAUGAGACCCCAAGUCAAGCAUUGCCAAUAAGCAGUCACAGAAAGCUCGUGUAAGUGGUUUGCUUUGCUUUGCAGCAGACACUUUUGCAAGACAGAGACACCCUUUUCCCCCCUCCCAAAGGGAAGUUAGAGGAAGCAGAGGCCAAGGUUUCUUAAAGAAAGAAAAAACAUCUGCAAAGUUUCUAUAAGUUAAUUGAAACCUGAGAUUAUAGGUACCAGCAGAAAGAUGUUCAUAAGUUUAAGAAGGAAACAAUUCUGAGAGCAAAGACUGUCUUCAGAGAGACUUUGCCAACCAAGAAAGUCCUGCAAGAGCAGUGAAUGGUAGAGGAGGAGCAGGAAGUUAAGAAGUGUGUGCAGUGCCAGGCCUGUCAAUCAGCCCGUGUUGGAGUGAGCUCAUUUUCCAAGGAAAUGAAGCAGGUUAAUGCCCAUAAUCUAACAGUCUCUUCAGAAACAGGAUAGAGGUAGAGAGGACUGUCCUACUCUUGGAGACCAGCUGGGCUAGCUUCAGACCCCAGGAUCCUCCUUCCUUGAAGUAAAGCGCAGAAGACAGCUGUCUUAAAAAGAGAUGUGAGUUGAAUCUGUUUCAACCGAGAGGCCAUCCAAGAGAGCCAUGUUUUCUGCUGGGAUGCUUGUACUCUCUCUGUGGCGUUCCCUGCAGCAUAGAACAUGCCUGGUCCAUUAACUGUAUCAUGCAUGCACACACACACACACACACACACACACUCACACACACACACACACACACACACACACGACUUUCUCAGGCUUGCUCAGCACUCCAGUAUCCUGAUGGUCCACUUCUUUUUUUUUUUUUUUGGGCCACUUGGCUUUCUCUUUGGAUUUGUGACAUAAUUUGUAAAAUCCAGACAACAUUCUUAGGCCCUUGCUGGCAAUCUAAAACCUUGACUACCUUGGUUUUAAAGACAGAAUGUGGCAAGCUAGGGAGAUGGCUCAGUCGUAAAGUAUUUUGCUUUGCAAGCGUGAGGACCUGAGUUUGGAUCCAGGUGUGGUGACAUGCAUCUUAAGUUCAUUCCCGGGGAGGUGAAGUCCACAGGAUCCCCUGGGGCUUGCUGACCAGAAAGCUUAGUGAGACCCUGUCUCAACAAAAUAACCUGGAGAGUGACUGAGAAAUAUACUCGAAGUUGACCUCUAGCUUCCACAUACGUGCACACAUACAUAUAUGAACAUAAACACACAGGCUGCACAGACACAUCACACGGCAGAUAGAACUUCUUGGCUGUGGGAGUGUGAGAUUGUCCCUGGCCCCAUCAACUAUGAAAGUAGCUAAAUGAGCCACAGCCUGCGGACAUCAGGAACAAAGUAUCACAAGAGAGUUGAGGUGGUUAGAAGCACACUUUGUGUGCACUUACCUUACUGCCUGUCUCUUCAGAACCCCUGCGGCUGUUUCAAUAGAAAACCCACACCAACAUGGGGUAUUGAACUAUAUGGUACUGAACAAGGCCAGUGAGGCCGAGUGGACCUGUGUAGCAAAGUUUUAGUUUAUGCAAACUGAUACGGUGGUAACUUAAGAGGAGGCCCAAGGAUGUGUACUGCAGUCACUGAGGAAACUCUGACAAAAAGGAGGGUGCAUGAGAAUGGCUGUGGAGAUAGGAGAUUAGGUAGUGAUGGGUGUGCACCACUGUGGCUGUCCUUAAUGACACCCAAGUAUACACUUAGCAGUUAGCUUUAACCACGUAUAAAUCUUAAAUCACACAUUUUACCAUAACACGAGAAAAACCUUUUAAAUACCAUGAAAAGAUAUGUCUAUGGUUUGAAUAUGGUUUGUCCCUGCUGAAACACACAUUGAGCUUUGGUUGGACGUGUGAGAUAUUAAAAGGUGGAACGGGGUGGGCCUUUAAGAAGCUCCUGUUUGUACACUGGGAUCCAUUCACCAGUUACUAAUGGAAGAGUGGGUAGAUCUGUGGUCACAGGCACAGCUCCUGGGACUAGGGGACUCCCUGCUUCUUGCCCAGUGGUGCUCUGCUAGCCUCUGGAUUCUGCCAGCAUGACAGCUAUUGUCAGACGUGACCUUGCCCCAGACUCCUGGGGCCAAAACGGACCCCGCUUCUGUCCAAGGCUCCAGCUUCUGGUUCUUUUUUUUUUUUCUCAGAGCUGGGGACCAAACCCAGGGCCUUGCGCUUCCUAGGUAAGCGCUCUACCACUGAGCUAAAUCCCCAGCCCCGGCUCCAGCUUCUGGUGGUGUGUUAUCGGCAGUGGAAAGUGUAUUAGGAAACAGCUCAAAAGCCAAUUGGAAACAGACAGCUAAAUGCAGGCUAAAUGCAGUAUGAGCCUAAGGAUCCUAAAGAUCAACUCCAGAGACAGCAGGAAGGGGAGAAAACAGAUGAAAGACCCUCAGAGAGAAUCUUCCCUCAGGAGGGAGAUCUUCGAGCCCAAUGACCAGUCCGAGUCCACAGGCUGCAAUCAGCAAGAGGAUUUUUAUUGAUCAAGAUACACAGAUAUCUGUGGGCAUCUCAGUCAAUUCGGAAGACUGGCGUGCCUAGCAGAACCAGGGAUGGGCUUUUUAUAGGGUUCUGGGAAGCAGAAGCAAGCAUACAUAAGCAGAUGCAUGGUUACAGGGGUCAGCCCGGGGGCAAGUUCUCUAUAGUGUCUUCUUGGAACAUAAUGGCUGACUCGGCCUCCCACCAGGGUGUGGGACCUCUCCCGGGGCUUUCCACUUUUCUUUUUCAUUGUCAGGCGCUCAACCGCAAUCAUCCUGUCGCCAGGCUCUCCACACAUAUCCUUCGUGGCAGCCGCUGUAUACUCAGUGUUCUGACCUUUCUCGGAACCAGUCUUCCUAAAUACAGCCUUGUAAAAUGGCAUUACUACUGUUAGUCUUUCCGUUACUGCUAUUAGGCUGGGGUCUUUCACAGAAGCAAGAAAUCCAAGUGUGGUCAGCUCCACCGUGGGACAGCGAACCUCCCAGAGGAAGGCGGGAAGGUGCAGGAGCCACCGGGAGGAAUUCCUGCUACAGGAAACACAGUGGGUUAGUUUAUGUGUGCACAGUGCCGGGAUCAAAGCAGAGCUGCGAACACACUAGCCAGGUACUCUGGCGCUAAGCUGUCUCCGAUCCUGGAGAGGCACAGAGUAUAAAGACAGGCGGGCUGCAGGGAAAGCCAGGACGGGAGGUAUCCACGAGGCCAAGAAGGUGCUGUAAAUAUAAGAGGCAUGUGGAGGCCAAGGGAACAUUUCAUAACAACGAAAAUCCAUCUAUCAGAGAAAUGACACAGUGCAGGAACCUUGCAAAGAGGUUAGAUAUUGAGAAACAAGAUUUGCAUGCACAGGUGGACAUAUCCCAGUAUGACAUUAUGUAGAUUGUCACUGUGUAAGUGUGGAGACCCAGGCCCACUCCCCACCAGCUCUCUGGGCACUCUCUGUUGACUUGCCCAGAAAUCCUCUGCUGGCCCUAACAGCAAAAUGGUAUCAGAAUAGUGGGCAGGAAGCCUAGUCUGUAAGUUCAAGUUCUGACUAGACCAUUCACCCGGAAGCCUAACUAAGCCAUUAGCUUCUUUAAACUCCAGUUUCUGUAAACACCAGGAGGCAUUUACCAACUGCACAUAAAAGUACCCAUCUACCUACCUGGUGGUGUUCAGAGUAUCUCUAAGUCAGCUCCUCCUCACUCUUUUUGGCUUUAGAAAAUUUUAAGGUUUUUGCAUAAACUCUUGGAAAAAAGAGACGAAUUCUUGCUAAUAAUAGAAUAGUGUCCAUCUAACUAAAAUGAUAAGCUGAGAGUCUAUGGAGAGGAUAUAAGUGAAGAGGCCAGAAGUAUAUGUGUGAGUGCACAUGUUUAUGUGUGUGUGUGUGUAGAUGCAGAUGUAUGUGAGAGUGUGUACAUGUUUACGGGUGUGUAGAUGCAGAUGUGUGUGCACAUGUUUAUGUGGGAGUGUAAAUGCAGGUGUAUGUGAGAGAGGGUGUGUGUUUAUAUGGGUGUGUAGAUGCAGAUGUGUGUGUGUAUACAUGUUUAUGUGCAUGUAGAUGCAGGUGUAUGUGAGAGAGGGUGUGUGUUUAUAUGGGUGUGUAGAUGCAGAUGUGUGUGUAUACAUGUUUAUGUGCAUGUAGAUGCAGAUGUGUAUGUGAGUGUAUGUGUGUGUGUGAGAGAGAGAGACAGAGAGACAGAGACACAGAGAGAGACAGAGUGUGUAUCUGUGCACAUGUGUGCAUAUGUGCAUGCGUGCAUGCAGGCUGACUGAUGAAUUUCAGGCACCAGCCUCCUUCCGCCUCCGCAGCGUUGAGAUUGCAGGGCUGCAGGGGUUUGAUAUGCAUGGUAAGGAAUCCGAGCUCAGGUCUUCGCCUGUACAGUAGGCAUCUUACCAGCUGAGUCAUCGGCUUGGCUGGUUGAAGGACUUUUUAUACUUCUGAAUUUUAAGUAGAAAAUACUACCUCCUUGGCAUUGUGUUUCACAUCUGUAGUGGCUAGAUUGCUUUGACUCUCCUCUCCUCCUUUCCUUUCUCUUCUCAAGGUUGGAUCAGGUACAGGUCCAGAACCAUGCCAGCUCCCAUAUCAUGGCAUGGGACUCCCUGUCCAGCGCCUGUAUGUUCUGCUUGGUUAGCAUGAUAUGGCUGUCCCGUAUUCCCGGGGAGUCCCAGGACUCAACAGGGUAGCACUAAAGCUAGCCAGUAAGUAUCCUUGGGGCCCUCUGUGCCUUCUCCUCUGCUGGCACUCAUGACCCAAUCUCUACUAGCCCUGGAGAACAGGGAGCUGAUUGGCUAGCACAGCAGGACAGGAACACUGACUUAGCUCAGGCAGGAGCCCCGUGGGAAGCUGCUCUUUGCUGCACCUGUAGGUUCAGCCUCCUUGCCCUCCUUGUCCUCCUUCCUUGUCCUCCCUGUCCUCCUUGUCCUCCUUGUCCUCCUUGUCCUCCUUGUCCUUAUCUGGGGUUCCAGGCCUCCGUGUCAGGGACUCUGGCUUGGUUGAGUUACAGAAUUGUGCUUCAGUGUUCUUUCUAAAAUGGAAAAGAGACAUGGCUGCCACCACUGGAUCACAUGGUCCUUGAGCACAGGACCUGGGCAAAGCUUUAGCUUUGUGUUAGAGAUCCCGUAGGCUAACCUUGGGCAACUAGGUCACAGCGGAGAGCUGAAUUGCAGCCAGACAAAAUGCCUCUAGGUGGUUUCAGGCCUCCUUUUCGUUUCCACCCUCUGAAUCCGGCCCUGCAUCCUUGUGAAUGGCUAGGGAAACAACCGCUGAGCUGAGCAGAUGUCCCUCAGGCCCCCACCAGCAUAAGCAAAAUGUGGAUUUGUGGCCCAGGAUGAUUUUCAUACAGUAUGGUCUAAAGAAUGGAAAAAUUAGAGAAGCCCAUGAGCCAGAGACCGUGGAAACCCAGGGCAGGCUUUUCCACCACCACUGCUGUGCACCCUCCUGGCAUCUCCCGCACUGUGUCAUUUUUAACAUACUGCUUCAUUGUUUUCUCUCAUUCUGCAGCUAGAAUGGUCAUGUUUCUUCUUCUUCCAUGAUUGGACUUGUCAUCCAGGGUAACCUGAGCCCAUGUUCCUGGGACAUAAAGUCACUCAGACUUCACUCAGAGUUAACUCUUUACUUAUUUCCUUUAAGUCAGAGUUACUUUAGAAAUACUUGUCUAUUUAUUUAAUAUUAUCCUGGUUAUUUUUGUGUCAGCUUGAUACAAAUGAGUCAUCUAAGAAGAGAGGACCUCAACUGAGAAAAUUAGUCUAUAAGACACACCAGGCUGUGGACAAGCCUAGAAUACAUUUUCUCAAUUAGUGGUUGAUGUGGGUGGGCCCAGCUCACCUUAGGUGGUGCCAUCCCUGGGCUGGAAGUCUUGAGCACUUUAAGAAAGCAGGCUGAGAAAGCCAUGGGGAGCAAGCCAGAAACUGGCACUUUUUCAUGACCUCAGUUAGCAUCACCUCCUGAGGUUUCUGCUUCGAGUUCCUGCCCCAACUUCCCUGGAUGAUGGACUGUAAACUCUUAGAAUAAGUAAACCCUUUCCUCCCCAAGUUACUUUAGGUGAUGGUGUUUUAUAACAGCAGUGGAAUCCUAACUAAGACAAUGUGUACGUGUGUGUGUGCUGGAGUGUAUGUACCUACAAACAGUGUGUCCAGUGCUUAUGGAGGCAGAGGAGGAUGCUUGGCUCCCCUGGAGUUGUAGAUGGCUAUGAGUCAUGCAACAUAGGUGCUAGGUUAUCAGGGAGUGGUCAUCCUCUGUUUGAGGGGAGACCCAGGACACUGGCGAGUGAGCACAAGGAAACAGUCAACAGGAACCUUGGAGUCCUCUGGAAGAGCAUCCUGCUCUGAACCAGGAAGCCACCUUUCCAGUGCAGACAUCCGCUCUCUUCUCUCUGACAGCCAUUUCAAGACAAGGUGCCAAGUCUGCAAGCAGAAGCUCUGUGCCUCAGUGCAGCACACACCCAGCAGCCCUCCAGCAGGCAGCAACCUUGUUCCCACAGGCAGCUACCCUGCAGGCAUAGAACAGCUGCCCCCUGGCUUAUCCACAGCAAAGCUUUAAAAAAACCCUCAUAAAGACACAGGCACCCUGAGUGAUUUCUUUUGUCUUCUCUUAUGCAAGCAUAAAUAACAUUUUAAUAAAUAUAUCCACCUGAAAAUGUACACUAUCUCUCAGUCACAUCGCUUUGCUUGUCUUUCCUUUAAAAAUCCAUUUUGUAAGGAAUCUGGGUACAGUCAUAAGGAAAGCAGUAGAUAUAGCUGGUCACAUCCAACUGGUCAGGAAGGCUUGGAUUGGCAUGGCUCUGAGUCCCAGCUAGGUGGGGCCAACUGGACCAUCAGAACAGGGUCAUUGCCCUCCUGUACUUUCCCCACAAACCUUCAGGACUGGGUCUCUCCACCAGCCUUCUUGGCAGAACUGUCUGUGAUUUGGGGUGGUUCCUGGCAGGCAGGGGCAGUGCAUGUGCUCUGGAGUGACGUUCGAUGGCAGUGCCUGGCAGGGUCAGGGUCACAGCACAGGGGCUAAUGGCCUUUCAGUGACGCUAAUGCUCUUCUAGACUUCAGUUGAGAAAAUGAAACAUGGAUUUGUUUCUGAAAUUUUUGACUGUUGCAGGGCACGUUUGCACAGAACCAGAUUUUCUGCUGUAGGGUCUGUUACAUGUGACCGUUUCUGUUUGGGAGGGGAAGAAAAUGGCCUUCUCAAAGUCUCUAACAUUGAGAGGGUUGAACACAUUAAUUGGUUUUAAGAAAUAAUCAGCCAGGCCCUGGCCUAUCAUUCUGGUCCUGAGGGUGUUAAGGCAGGAGGAUAAGAAAUUGAAAGUAAACCUCAGGUAUGUAACCCAGUUUGAGACUAACCUGAGCUAUGUGAGACCCUGUCUCAAAAAAGGCAUACAGACAACAAGGAGGAAAAAUAACCAAGGAUUCGGAUGUACAUUUUAGAACACAUGUACUUUAUGACUUGUUUGCACAUGUGUGUGCCUGCAUAAGUUUAUAUGUAGCACAUGUAUACAAGGAGUUCAUAGAGACCAGGAGAGGGUAUUGGGUCUCCUGCACUGGAAUUACAGGCAGUUAUAAGUCACCUGAUGUGGGUAGCAGGAACCAAAUGCUGACUCUCUGCAAGAGCAGCAGGUGCUCCUAGCUGCUGAGCCAUCUCUCCAGCCCCUAGAUCUUUGAAACUUUUGUUUUUGAGAAAGAGUCACUGUGUAGUCCUAGCUAGCCUGGAAUCUGCUAUGCAGACCAGGCUGACCUUGAACUCCUGGAGAUGCACCUGUCUCUGCCUCCCAAGUGCUAAGAUUAAGAAGUGUGCUGCCAUAUCCCUCUGGCACUUAGAUUUUAUAAAGAAAAUCCAGGAAGCCUCCUUUUAUAAUGUAUUACUGUCUAGGUGCCUGUUACGCAAAUGAUCCAACGCCCUUAGUUUCUUAAGCUGCCAAUGGGAGGUCCCCUAAUAAAUGUAGGACUGGAGCCUUCUGUCAGGUUCCUUUCCCUCCCCCAAUUCCUUUGUUCAUUCCCAGGAAGCCAAGCAUAUUCUAGAAAGGUCCUUCAUCCCACACAUCCCAGCCAGGCCCUCCCAGUAGCUGUGUCUACCCCUCUCUCAGUUUCCUGGGUCUCUAGAGAAUAACCUACAGGAAAGGUUUAUGGAGGCCAUAAGGGAAUUACAUUCUAACUGAAUGAAAAGCUGAAGGGAAAUGAGCAAGAUGCAGUGGCUUCUGUCUCUGCUAGUCAAUGUCCCCGUGAGGGUGGAGGCCACUUUCUACCUUCACUUUGAGAUGUUCAGCACCUAGGGCCUCAGCUUUGACACUCCAGAAAGUAUCUGAGCUCUCAGAUCUGAUUGGCCAGGAAGCCCAUAAGGCCUCGCUCCCACACCACUCUUGUGGAAGGGCCUCCCUUAUUCUCUAGAGACCCAGGAAAGGAUUGCAUGGUCCAGAGCCACAGUCCGGGAGCCUCAGCUUCAGUUUUUCAAGUCCAACAGGAGGUUUUAAGUAAAAGUAUCCAGAAAACUGUACUUUAAGGUUUUAGUGUAUGAGUAGUGAGUAAACUCUAUGUCCAGUCCAGGAAAUAAAUCAUCCUUUUCUCAACACAGCCAGGCAUCUUCCUGUCUGUCACCAUGGCAACGGUGGCAAUCCAGUGCCAUUGUUUUUAUGUCCUGUAAAGAUGGCCCAGUGCCUGUGAGGGGAAGCUAUCCACGCAGAGAUGUAAUGAACUGCCUUGGGAGAAAAGGGAGCCCAGCCUGCUACACCCUGGUCUGGAAGCCCCCAGCCUGCUACACCCUGGUAAGAAAGCCAAGGGGCUUGAAUCCCGCCUCCUGGGGAGUGGCUGCACUGACUGGGAGUCUCUUGUAAGGAAGAGGCAUUUUUCUUCCUGUUUAUUUGCUCAGUCUUUUUUUUUUUUUUGGGGGUUUGGUUGAUUUGGGGGGGUUGCUAAAAAUGAAUUUGGGGCCAUAUACUUCCUGGCCACACCCUGUGACAGACUCAAGCAUGCCUGCUUGCUACAUGGCUUGACAUAUGGCACUUCCCUUCUUGUUUCUUGUGUUUUGGAAAUAUUGCCUGCUUUCUGGUACUGGCUUCUUUUUAUUUCGUGUGUGUGUGUGUGUGUGUGUGUGUGUGUGUGUGUGUGUGUGUGUACAUCGGAUGCCUUUCCAUAUUUUUAUUUUUUUAUUUUUUUUGAAGCUGAGUGUCUCACUGAACUUUGUUUUUUAUUUAUUAGUAUAUUUGUAUGUGUGUGUGUCUGGGUGUCUGCAUGCCUGUCUCAGUGUGCACAGGACAAUUUGGGGGAUUUGUUUCUUUCCUUCUGUUAUGGGUUCUGGAGAACAACUCAGCCCCCUUCCCCGCCCCCCCCAACUCUCUCUUUACACCCCUCUGGGUUUGGUUUGGUCCUAGGAAUGGUCAAAGGGUCACAGGGCCAUGUGAUACCUUUCUCAUUCCCUAGCUCUGUUACAGUAAGGAAGCCACAAGAAGUCACUCGGGUGACAGAGACCAGUGUCUUAUGCAUGGUUGUUGGACGUCAGUGCCAGAGGCAGCUCCAGCUGACUCAAGGGCCCUUUUCCUCACAGAAGGAGGUGAUGGAGGCUGGAGUCACAGGCUUGCCAUAAAUGGAGGUAAAACAGGGAGUGGGAGGGGAGAGGAACCUCAAGAGUGGCCCAUGGGCUUGGAUAGGACCAGAGACUGUCCCCAGAUCUGCCCCCCACACCACACAACACUACAGGCUCAGUCACAUAGUCACUCACCAAUUCUGGCCCAAGUGCUGUCAAUCUCAGGCCAUCAGCACCUUCCUACCAGGAAGACCUGGGUCCCAGGAAUGUGUCCACCCCUUCCUGCCGAAGACUGUCAAGUGCUGGGGUCCAGCUUGGUUUUCUUGAUAUGAUGACCGGCACAGAACACCCAAGCAGCACGGCCCCUCUUGUAGUCCCUGCUCUCUGUUAUAAAGAAGAUGGUGAAGUUUCCAUGGUGCCAGCCGGGUACUGGUGACCUGGAAGGUUGCGAACUUCCAUGGAGCCAGUGUGUUACCAUGACCUAGUUUCCUAGACCACAGCUGCUGAUGCUUUAAAAAAGAUAAUAUUAAAAACCCAAGAACCAUGAAGCCGUUAGGUUUAUUUUAAAUGUUUAACAGGGUAGCCUUUAUCUUUGAAGUGGUUUUAAAGAUAAGUGAGAGGAAUUUCAAAUUUUUGAAAAAGGGAAGCUGUUGCAGGUCUGAAUUUGGUACAUUUUUAAUUUAAAAAAUGGAUAUUUUCUUUUGAAAACAUAAGCAGAAAUUUAAAAUAAAAUGAAAAUGCAGCCUGACAAAAUGUUUCUCAAUUGCAUGUAUCAGAUACACGUGCAUUUUAAGACAGACAGACAAUCUACUUAGCCCAAACCAAACCAAACAACAACAACAAAAGAUUACACAUACUCAAGGCUGGGAGUCAUGGCUUAUUCAGCAAAGUGUCUACUCAACAAAUACAAGGGCAGGAGUUCGGGUCUCCCAUACUCACAUAAAAGCUAGACGCAGUUGGGCACAUCUGAAACCCCAGUGUUGGGGAGGAAGGCAGAGACAGAUGAUCCCGGCCAGCAAGCAAGACCAGCCACGCUAAGUGAGAGUCCCUGUCUCUGAAGGUAAAAUGAGUACAUGGGUGGAAGACACGCAGUGUCAACACCUGUGCUGCACACACAUGUGUAUAUACAUGCAUAGCACGCACACAUACACUACAUAUAAAAAUGUGACAAGGUCAUAAGUUGAAUGUGAGGGGUUUACACCUAUAAUCCCAGCCCUUGGGGGACAGAAGCAGACAUCAAAAGUUCAAGGGAAUCCCUAACUACGUAAUGAGUGGGAGACCAGUCUGGACUACCAGAGACACUAUUUUGAACACAAUAACAAAAGCAUACUGAGCUUGGUGUGGUAAUGCAUGUUCAUAAUCCCAGCUUUUGGAAGAGUGAGACAGGAGGAUUGCUAUGAGUUCCAGAUCAGUCAGGACUCCAGAGUGGCACUGUUUCAAACAAACAAAAACUCACAGAUCCACUCACUACUUUUCUGUGGGUGAGCACAUCAUUACUUGAGUGACUGUUGUUUACAUAAGCUGUGCUUCCCUGGUGACUCAUAUCUCCCUAACGCCCAGCCUCUGUCAGGCAGUGAUUUGCUACAGCCUGGGGAAGCCCAGGCUGUCUGUGUGAAUGUGACUACGAGCAGGAAUGGGCCAAGGUCCCUCUGAUACCAGAAGGGACAGUUCCAUUCUGCUUCCAGCUCUAGAGCCUGGAGAAACAAGGGCCUAGGAAAGAUUCCCUGAAUGUCACAGUCCCCUUAGGCUGGGCUGCAGGCAAAUGUGAUAGCACUUGUGACUUGGGCUGGGAUGGAGGAGCCAUAUCAAGGGCUCUUCUCUGCAGAUAUGCUCUUGGGGAUGUAGUAGGGAGUGGCCAGGGCUCAGCAGACCAUUGUACAGAGCAAAACAGGGCAUGUUGUUCAGAACAAAUGAAGCUAAGCUCCAAUGGCUGUUCAGGCUGGGUACUGGUCUUCCUAGGAUGGUCAGCACCAUGUCCUAUACAGAGCUGUCUCCAUAAGCCUCACUGGGUCUCAGCUCCAUCAUGGCUGACAGCUAGGGGGGAGGAGCGGAUUGGGUGUUAACUAUAUUGGAAGCUCAACUCCGUCCUUCUGAGCUCGGGAAGGGCCUCAGCGGACAGCGUGGGGUUUCAUUUAGUAUAUAGACCUUCCUAUUCUUGCCGGUCCUUUAGUCAGUGUCUGUAAACUCCUAGGACAAGAUGUGGCCGCUAGCCUCCUGCCGGAGGACGUAAGGCUCAGAAACUUGCCACCAGUCUCUCUUGGGGCCAAGGCUGGCUACAUAUUCUAAGCAUAAAGGCUAAAGCAGGCUGGGUGGUUGGGAGAAUGCCGGGGUCCUGGAGAAAGGCUGGGAUGUGUGCCACUGGGCAAUUCUGCUUCCUCAAAUGUGUGAGUGGCACUUCCUUAGAACAGAGGUGGUUUUCUGGGCCCUGAGCGUGUUUGUGAGAGACUACAGUAAGGAGUGGUGAGCCUGCUCCUUACCCUAGAGAUGAGAGCUCUGCCCAGCCAACUCAAACCAAGCCAAGGGUGCCAGAGGAGGUUGUAGGUCACAUUGCCUCUGCCUGGUCCUGACUGGCCCUACUUUAGAAAGAUCGAUGGCAUGAGGACAGAUGACACUGUGUCAGAGAGAGAGAGAGAGAGAGAGAGAGAGAGAGAGAGAGAGAGAGAUGUCUUGUAUAUCCCUGUGAAACCUGCUGAUGGGCCUAUGACUCCUGGUACAGUGGGGGUAUCUUGCCCUCUGUCUUACUUUGUCACCAAUGCAGAAAUAGUACUGUUAUGAGUACUGUUAUGGUGGUGAGCAGUUGGACUGUGGGGUGUCUUCUUUAUAGGGGUCUAGUAGGCCCAUCAGAUACUGGAUACUAUGUUUGUGACCCUAUCUGUGUGAAUGCUCACCAGUGCAUACAAAUAUAAAGGAUGGUUAAGGGAAAUCUAUCUAAAUUUAGGCUUCAGUUCUCGAACAUGAGUGAAAGCCACAUACCCGGCCAACCUGUGCUUAUAAUCCCAGCUUUCUGGAGAUAGAGACAGGAGGAUGAGGAGUUGGAAGCCAGUUUUAUCCAUAUAGUGAGAUAAAGGCCACCCUAGGCUACAUGAAAACCUAUGUUAAAAAAACUACAAUCCAAACCCAAACAGCACAUAAAAAAGCUAGCUUUAUAUAAAGCCAUAGGUCAGUUCCCCAUGAUAUGAUGGCAUUAGUUCAUAUUCAGAAAAUCUGAAUCUGGUGUAAACUGAAGUCAAAAUGGUUGCAUUAUUUAGAAAACUCCAGUUAUUCAAAUUUUAUCCUGAGCUGGAUCUGCAGCCAAGUGCAGCCCAGCUAACCCUUACACACGGGAGAGAUGCUUACAUUCUAGGGCCACUCCUGCCUUCAAAGAGCCUGCCAUUCCCAACGCAGGGAGCAAGGUCAAGGGCUGCUACAGAGACCAGGCUGCGUCCAACUACCCAGUGAUCCUGGGAAGGCUGGGGACAGUUCUAAGACUCAGCCAGGCUGGGCAUGGGGCCCUGUGGAUGGAGACGGAGCUAAGAGUGCAUUUGUGGAUGGAGGUAUAGGCUAGGCUCUGGGGCGUGACCGAGGUGACAAAUGAGUGAGGCUUCUGAAAGAGCCCAUGAGGACUGGCUGUGGGCACUGACCUGGCUUAGCUGUGCCCAGCCCCCUGGUGCCCUGUUUAGUUGAGUCCCUUAGCGCUAGACAGCCAUGACUCACACCUCUUGUGUGAAUGAUGAGCAGCACCCAGCAAGCUCACCAUCAGGCCGCCCUGCCCUCUCAGGCAAGCCUCACUCCAGCACUGUGAGCAGACUGCUUUGUGAUUUGGCCUCUUGGCAGAAGCUCCUGAAUGCAUUUCCAUCCUCAAAUGCUGAACUUUGCCUUGAAGUCGACCAAGUCCCCCAGAGACCUUGCACUAGGCACAGAGGGCGUCUCUCACACAGUCUCCCUCUCACCGAGCUCCUUUGUGGCUAUGCACACUUCCCUCAACAUCCCAGAGACUCUCACUUUUUAUCUAGGCACUGUGCAGCCUGAAGCUUUAGCCCUCGCUUCUUGUGCUUGUUGUGGACCGCAGACUUUCUGUUUUAAAGGGAAACACAGAUAGCAACACCAGAUGCCUUUGACUGUGUUCCGUUGGUCCCAGGACCUGAAGUGCUUAUUUAAGGACACUUGACCUUCUCAGGCUUUUUAGAUGACUUGAGGUCCUCAAGUGCUUUCGUUUUUUACAGUAUACCUGGGUGUGUGGGGGUUGGGGGUGGAGGUCCUAUGAUACAGUUUCAUCUGUCCUGUAGAGGCUGCUGGAGCCACAGGCUAAGCACAACAGUCUGGGGAUUCCCUUCCAGCAUGCAGAGUUCUGGUCUUGAGGCAUUUGACGCUAACGAUGAACAAUUAAUUUUCCAGCAGUCUCAGACCUCAGCCUUUCCUGUCUUCGACUCUGAUUUGUUUAUGUCUAACAAUGGGAAAAAGGUAAUGACUGAAAAUGCACAGGGUCAUUGGUGUGGGACUCAGGGACAAUUGAAACCACAGUGGAGUCACGAAAGAUGUGGUCAGAGGCCAGAAUGACCUUUGGCAUGGCACAGUUCUGUGUGUAACACUGGGGCUCAAAUUCAGAGUCUGUUGAACAUUAGGCAAACACCUAACUCUGGACAACAGUCCAGCCCUAGAGAAAAGGCGUGCUCGUGUUGGCAGAAGCCUUUGAAACUGCUGUCCCUCCCCUCCUCGGGUUGCAGUGGUCCUACCUUCUGUCUGAAUCCUACAGUGAUGAUCUCAGCUUUGUUCAGGCAUCAUCGCAUGUUAAUUGGCCUACCGACAGAGGCCUGUGAACUAACAUUUCAGUCUCUGCACACAGCACCAAGUCCAGUGACUCUUGCUCCCCAGUCAUGAGCAAGGAGGCAGGAUGAGCUUGGCUUUUGAGGUCCUUGACCUCCCAGUCUUUGCUGCUGUGGCUCUUUAUCAAAGAUGCCCAUUCUUCUGGGUUUGUGCCAAGCAGAGCCUGUGCCUAAACUCAGGCUUUGGAAACAAAUACUAUAGACAAAGGGCUCACACAGCAGGAGUUAGCCUCCUGUGCGUAGAGAGGCUUCAUGUCCAAACCAAGAUUUCCUAGUAGCAUGGACAGCCCUGUGACGGCUUUCUUCCUGGUUUGUAGAUGGCCCUCUCCUCUGAGUCUGUACUGGGUAGGGAGGGAAGAGGGAGGAUGUCUGUCUCUAAUAAGGGCACUAAUUGCAAUAUGAGGGCCCCACCCUAUGACUGAUUUGGCCCUAGUUACCACUCAGAGGUCUCACUUCCUAAGUUCAGCAUCGCGGGGCUUCAGCAUGGAGGUUUAUUAGGCUGACACAAACAUUCCACCCAUGAUAUCUAGUGGCAAGGCCUAGAGCUGUGUGUCAGGGGUGAUGUAGUAAUGUGACCUCUGGGCACUUGAGAUACCACCAUUUAGUCUGCUGUGUGUACACCAAAUCCUAAGGUUUAGGAUGAAAACUAAUGAGCGAUAUCCAGUAGGUAACUGGGAAACCUGAAACUAUCUGCUGAGAUAACAUUUGGGAUAGCCUGGGUCAAAUAAUGCAUAGUAUGAAGACUAAGUUUGCCUGGCAUGGUGGCCCAUACUUUAAAUCCCAGCACUUGGGAGGCAGAGGCAAAAGGAUCUCUGUGAGUUCCAGGCCAGCGUGGUCUAUAAGCAAAUUCCAGGACAGGAGAGCCAGGGCUGUUGUAAAGAGAAACCCUGUUUCAAAAAUAAAAUAAAGACUAACUUUAUUAUUUCUUUUGAAUUUUAAAAAUGUAUUUCUAAGAUCAUUCCAACUCCCACGAAUGCCAAUGUAUUUGUGUUUUAUUGAAUAUAGUUUUAGUAAACAACAUCAAAGAUCACACGAUAUUUUGAUAACAUGUAUACAAUGAAGUAGUUAUUAUAGUUAGAGUAUGAGUAUACUGAAAUCCCUGUCUACAUGCAUGUGUAUGUGCAUGUGUCUGUGCAGGUUACCAAAAUCAGACUCUCUGCACACAGUUUCUGCUAUGUAAUAUCAGACAUUCAUGUACCACAUAGUAACAGGAUGGUUGACAGAGAGCAACACCCAUGAUGGUGGCUCUGUAAGAUCAGAUCUCCUGGUGACACUGGACCUGUCUUAGCUUGUGUAAAUAAUGCAGAGCGAUGGUUUGGAACAAGAUGGCCAUGAGCAGAGCAGGCAGCUGAUUCAUUCAGAAGUUCAGGUCAAAAAUGGAGUGUAGACUCCAGGGGACCUCCGUGCCUAGUGCUCCCAAGAGGUUUCUAACGUCAGCAGUCGUCCAGCAGGCAGCUGAAGACAUCCCACGGAGUCUCUCUCUGUGCUGUCAUCCUGUUGCACUUCCUGACACAGGCUGGCAGGCCAAAAAUAGCUGAGGUUUGCAGUCAACAGAGGUGGAUCUGGGCUGAUGGGGUGGCACCACUGUGGCCUGGAACAUCCCGCCUCUUGGCCUGGGGCCAGCUGGAGAAACCAGGCAAGGAGCUCAACCAGCGGACUAUCAUCAGCCUUGUCUGGAAUUUUCAGAUCUGUCCAAUGGCAGUGUAGGAGUGGCAGGUAAGCCCAGAGCUCCUCCUCCCAUAGAGCCCUGGAGAAUACUCUUCCUUGCAUUCCUCAAAUAGUUGUUUGGACGCUGGCGACAUUCAGGGGGAAACCGAUCCCUCCUUCAUAUAAGUGUGUUUAUUGACUGUUCAUCUCAUUCUCUUUGCUCAGCAGGUGGCAUUUCUGUUCAGCAAUUAUACCAUUAGUCGGCUGUGUUCAUGGAUAGUGACAUAUUAAUCAUGCAGAUUAGGAUAUUAUUAAUGAAGAAAAUAUUAAUCCUGACCCCGUAGCAGGCUUCACUGUCACAGCUCUGCUAUGCCCUCUCGUCCCAAAUGCCGUCAGCAGAUUCUUCCAGCUGCUGCAGUUGGCACGUUGACAUGCAGGGGAAAGGGAGAGGCAGCAGCACCACAGAAGCGUCCCUCCUCAGGUGCAGCGUCCCUCCUCAGGUGCAGUGUCGCAAGCACGAGUUUACUUGAGAGCUUGUGUUUUCAGACAGGAUUGUGAAACCUGACCUCCUUCCCACCAUGUAAACAGUAGGCAGCAUUUAGGAACCAGCUCUGUCCUUCCGGGUCCUCUAGGAAAGCCCACUGGAUAUGGUAUCUGCUUCUUUCUGUCACCACCACAGGCCAGUGUGGCAACGUCGGGGAGCUUCUGUGACUUGGAUGGCUUCUGAGUCCCAGCUCCGGUUUUCUAGAUGCUUCUUGCAGGUGGCAUGUGAGCCCCUCUUCUCACACCUGCCACUCAUCUUGGAUACCUGCCCCUUAGUCAAACAUACCUCCAUGGCCACUCUCCCUCCCUGCCCUCUGGCUGACCCUGAUUCCUCCCAGAAGCCAGUGCUGCUCAGAGAUCAGGUUUCAGUCUUCUCUGCUUUCCCUCUCUUGAGCCAAGUUCAGAAACAGGAUGUUUUUGAGAACUUGGAUGUGUCUCCCAAGUGCAAAGUGGCAACACCCCUUGGAAAGAGCGUACCAUUCCGGAAAGCUGGCUGAGUCACCCCACAUAAUGUCACAAGACUGGGCUGAACCAAGAGAAAUGGCAGCUGGGCUGUCUCAGCACUGAUAGCUAAUGCCAAGACCUAAUGCCAGCACCAUGUGGGGGUAAGGGGAUCCGGAGGGUGUCCAACCACUGAGAGAUCUACUGGGACAAAGAUCUGCUGGCCUGUGGUCACCUGCAGAGCAGAAUAUAAUAUCUAUUCUCCAUUCUCUGAGCUAGCUCCUGGGACAGCAGCUAACAGAGUAAGCACCAGAGGCCAGAGUAAGAAAGAAUGAGCCUUGAUGUCUCAGGUCUGCUUUGCUGAAUCCGCACUUCCUAGAGACACCGCCUGUUUCACUGACAAGUCCCAAGACUUCCACUGCUGCCCUUGCUUCCUUAAGAUGCCUAGUGCCCAUGGGUUCACUCUGUAGAACCUCUGGAGAGCCUUCCUUUCCUAUAAGCGUCUCUAUCCUAUGUCCCCAUCUGUGUCCCCACCCACUUCCCUUUCCACACCUCCUCCUGUGCUACCUGCUUAGUAGUAGGUGUUGGGAGAGAUGGAGUCAGGCAGAAAUUCACCAUGGGAGCUGCCUGGUCCUGCAGAGAAGGCAGCAUCAGCACUGUAAAUAAUGUCUCAGUUGUGACUGUGAAAGGGAUGGACCCAAUUUCAAAGGAUUAGCCCAUUAGGCCUCUCCACCUGUAAUGAUGGCUGAUGUACCUUAGUGUGCAGAUGACAUUUCUCCUUCCUCUCUGUCUCUCUCUGUCUCUGUCUCUCUGUCUCUGUCUCUCUCUCUCCCUGUACGUUCUCUUUUUAUUCACUUGUCUUGUUACAGGGACAGAAAUCAUGGAAUUAGGUCUUGUCUUCCUCCUAGGUGUCCUCCUCCUAGCUUUUUACAUUGGCCGUAAUAGCCUGUCACUUAUUAAGGCUACCUUCCCAGGUAUUAACGGUUAAUGCUGUGGUAUGUGAGCUUUAGGGGUACAUAGCUCACCCCUUAGCAGGAGCAAAGGCCACGGAAGAGGAUGACCCUGGGACCCUGGGACCCUGGGACCCUGAGAGUGGCCGCUGUCUCUGCUCAUGAUGGACACUAUCAGUGUGGGUGAAUAUGGAAGUUCUCCUCACGGCUGUGGGGACUCUGGUUCCUGGCAUCCUCCCUGUACUUAUGGUGAGUUAAGAGGAGGGGUGGUCCACUCAGCCUUCUCUUCCAGGAGAGUAUGAGUGACCAGGAGGCCUUGACAGACCCAUUGAGCCAUUAGACAAGCUGAAGUGACCCUAUCCAUUAGCUUUAUUUAUGUCACACCUGGGGACAACAUACCUCUAAUGAGAACGUGUGCUAGUGUCCAUAAAAUAAACCCACCUCUGUGUAUCCUGGGAGCUGGGGAAAUGACUGCCCCAAUGAAAGAAAUCUGUGGAUACAGCACAAUCUCAAAUAGAAAUUCUAGUAGCAUUCCUCUUAGGAAUAUAAGCAAUAACCUUAAAAUACAUAUAGGAGCAUGGAAGACCUCAGAUAGCCAAAGCAGUCCUGAGCAAGAAUGGGGGUUAGGGGGAUAUCACCACUUUGGGGGCUAUCACCACACCCGAUUUCAAAUAAUACUACAGAGCCAAGGAAUGAGAACAUGGUACUGGCACAGAACAGGCAUACGGGUCAAUAGAAUAGAGAAAGGGCCCUGACGUGGGGGGUCACAUGACCACAUCCACAUGAUUUGCCAAAUAUGAAAAGAGCAUGCAUAGGAGAAAGGAUGGCCUCUUCAGCACAUGUCUAGAGAACUGGACAUCCACUUAGAGAAGAGUGAACCUAGAUCAUUAUCUGUCACACUGCACAACAAAACCAUCCUCAAGUGGAUCAAAGACCUUGACAGAGGACCUGAAGCAGCAAGAGGACAAACUAGGGAAUGCACAUCAAGGGACAGGGUAGACAAGGACUUUUGACUAGGACUCCAUGCUCAGGAGAUAGUCAACAACCAACAAAAUGGAGUUCAUGAAACUGAAUGUUUUCGUACUGCUAGCUGCCAGUGAGGGAAGAGCUAGCUUGAAGAUUGGGAGAAAAUCCUUGGGAACUUUACCUCAGCAGAGGAAUUAGUAUCUAGAAUGUUCAGAGAACUUCAGAAGCUAAGCACUGACCAAACAUCCCAUAAAGGUUAAUGAAAGCCGGCCUCCAUAGGUUUGGGGAGUGGCACUCAUGGGAAGUGCGGCCUUGUUGGAGUAGGUGUGGCCUUGUUAGAGGAAGUGUGUCACUGUGGGUGGGCUUUAAGGUUUCAGAAGCUCAAGCCAGACCCAAGGUCACUUUCUCUUCUUGAUGCCUGCUGGUCCAGAUGUAGAACUCUCAACUCCCUCUCCAGCACAGUGUCAACCUGCAUGCCACCAUAGUUCCUGAUAUGAUGAUAAUGGACUAAAUCUCUGAACUGUAAUUAAGCCACAGCUAAGAGUUUCCCUUUAGAAGAGUUGCUUUGGUUAUAGUGUCUCUUCACAGGAACAGAAACCGUAAUACAAUACAAUAAAAAAUGGUUUAGGAAAUAAAUGUAUUUCUCAAAAAAAUACAAGUGGUUGAGCCAUCUUCCCAGCUUUAGUGAACACUAUUUAAAGUGUUCAGAAUCUUAGCCAUCAGGGAACUUUGAAUUAAAAUACAUUGAGAUUGCAUCUUACCCCCGUCAGCCUGUUCAUCAAGAAAACAAAUGCUAACAAAUGCUGGUGAGAGGCACUGGAGAGGGGACCCUUACUCUCUGUUUGUGGGGCCACAUUUGACCCACUUGGAGUUGGUUCUUGUUAACAGCACGGACACUUGGAAGGUUCUGGGGAAUGCCUCUGUUGGAUAGAGUCCUGUGCAUAGGGGUGUUAGAAAGCUGGCAGCAGACCAAUUUGAACAGAAGGGAGAUCCCCAGUGCUUAGAGAGUGGUGGGGCAGGAGACUAAAGCAGGGUCUAGCUCCUAGCAGACUCCCUGAACAGGUGGCCUGUGACCCGCGUGGUGCCACUGAGGACUCGGGUAUAGCAUUUCUUUAACCAGCCUGACAUAGAACCUGCCGUUAUGCCACAAGAGUGGCACUUACCCUGUCACUUCCCUUCACCCUUUUAAGGGAAUAUGAGGAAAUGGGCCUGAGGUGGGAGCCCCCAGAAAGGAAUUGGAACCCUUGUAAAGGAGACAGAGGUGCUGCCUCCACCCUCUGAGGGCAUCCUGCAACCCUUGAGGUGAUAAACCCAGCAUCUCACAGUGCCUGCCUCUUGACUUCUGGAGCUGUGGGAAGUGAUGUGCUAUUACAGCCACCCAUCCGCUGUGCCUCAUGGUUACAGCCUGGGGGGACUUAGGAUAUUCCACAGAGGAUCUUGGGGGGGUUAUUCUACAGAUGGGGAGCAGUGACUUCAGGCAAAUAGCUUUCACAUUCGGCCACUCAGGCAAACACUUGAAAAGUACCUCCCAUUUUGCUUACUCUGGACAUCCAAACCAACGGGCCAAACUGGCCCUCUGUGCUUUGGGAACUGAUGGUUAAUCUUGAUGGUCAAUUUGACAGAAUUGGAAUCACCAUGGAGCCAGGCCUUUCUUUACUCAUACCACUGAGAGGGCAGAGACAGGAGGACCUCUACGAGUUCAAGGUUGGCCUGGUCUGUAGAGAAAGUUCCAUUACCGCCAAUCCUACAUAGAGAGACCCAGUCUCAAAAAACAAAAACAAACAAACAAGAAUCACCCGGAAGCCAAGCUCUGAGCAACUUUGUGGGAGUUUCUAGAUUAGGUAAACUGAAGUGGUUACCCCACCCUAACUAACUGGCAGCACCAUCCUGGAUAGGAUCCUCACGACUGCGUUCGCAAGUGUUGAGCCCAAACAAGCCCUUCUUCCCUUUAGUGGCUUUUGUCUGGUGUUUGCCAGUGCUAAGAACAGUAACAAGUUCAGGGACAUAUUCCACGUUCCUCCCCAUGCUGACCCUUGACCAGUUGUGACAUCCACUCUUAUCUCAUGUCCCUGCCUCUGCUCAGCCUCACGCUCUGCUUGGCAGAGUAGCCAGGUCAAAUGUGGCCACACCCUUACCCCCUCCCACCAAGAUGACCUCCCAGACCUGGAGCGGCAGCCUUGCCUGCCUGCUUGGUCAAUCCUCUCUAAAGCUGCCUUUCCCAUUUUUACUUUCCUGUCACCUGGUUCUGGAUGAGAUGACGUCACCUCCCCAGAGCCCACUUCCUGUCCUACAUUGCUCUCUUGUGUUUCUAAUCAGCUGAGAGUUGUGCGCUAUUUAACCUUUAGCCCAAUUUCAUGUCAGGACUUUGCCUAAGUCCAUCCAGAUGGGUGCCUGGGACAGAGCUGGCAUAAUAGACUCCUGCAGAAACGGGCCGCGGCUGUGUCCCGCAGUGCGAUCAGCCUCUGCUGCCUGUCACUUGUAGAAGGGAAUGAACAGGGACAGAAUCGAGUCUUAAAACUGCUCUUUAUUCAGAGAUCCGCGAUCUGAGAAGACAAUAGUUUAGCAUCCUCGAGAUUUGUCGUCUCAAAAAGAAUUCAAUUAAGGGGCUGGAGAGACGGCUCAGUGGUUAAAGACAUUCAUCGCUGCUCUUUUAGGGCUAGGAUCUGGAUCCUAGCACCCAUGUGGUUGCUCAUAACUUUCUGUUAACUCUGGUUUUAGGAACUCUAAUGCCCUCUCCUGACUGUCUCACUCCCUGCCCCCCACAUACACAUUAUAAACACAUUUUAAACAUUCAAUUGAAAAUGCAAGCCGUUUUUAAGGUUCAUUUUAUUUUCAGUUGCGUGUGUAUCUGCAUGUGUAUGUGGGUAGCCAUGGAAGCCAGAGGAGGGCUAGAGGAGGGCUUGGAUCCCCAGAGCCGCAGGUAUAGGUAGUUGUGUAGCCUGACAAGCGUGCUGAGAACCAGACUCCGGCCCCUGCGAGAGACUGCACUCUUCACCACUGAGCACAUACUUCCUACAGUCUCUCCAGCCCCUCACAGACAGCUUUUUAUUUAGCAAAACAAAUACUGUUGGUAUUCUGUCUAAGCUCCACCCCCACAGCUAACUGGGAACAGCCAAGUAUGCUCCGCCCCACAGUUGCCUGGCAACAGCCAGCUGUGCCUGACGCUAUAAAAGGGACUGCUCCCUCCUCUUCUUCUUCUUUCUCUUUCUCCCCUCUUAAGCCCUCUUGCUCUUUGUUCUUCCCUGCUCUUGUCCCCUUCCCCAUCCCCCCCUCCACGUGCCCAUGGCCCGCCUUUCUUCUCUUCUGCUCUUCUCUUAUUAAACCUCUCCACGUGGAACCGUGGCGGCUUGGCGUGUUCUGUCCGGGCAUGGGCCGAGAUUUGAAACCCAACAAAUAUGAAGAGAGAUUGGGGUGGGCAACCCCAAGAUGGAAGGGGUGAGGAAGGAUACCCUAGUGGUUCUGUGUGGUGAAUUUUAGAGACAUUAUUACAGAUAUUCAUGGUGCAAGAUGACCUUUUCGAUGGCCCACGUCUCCUCGAUAGUAUACUUCUUCCCAUAAUCUUUAGUUGGGCCACCAAACAGGGUGGGGUGGGUGUCCAAAGCACAGAGCAAGUGAACUGUGAUGGGGUCAGGUCCCCACGGGGGAUGUGCAGAGGAUGUCCUGGCACCUGAGUUUCUGAGGCAGCGGAGACAACCUAUCUGCAGCUUCAAGGAUGUCUAACCACAAAGGGGCAUCAUCUCUCAGGAGACACAGCCCCGGAGGCACGCUGAGGGUGUCCUCUGUGUCAAUGCUGUGGACACCAGGAGUCAGGGGCCCUGAUGCUUACUCCUGGCACACACUAAGUGCUCAUCAAAUGAUCAUUACAUACAAGAACGAGCCUUACACAGCACCGCUCCUUCACCCCUCCUCACUGGUCCCUCGGGCCCUGGGGUUAGCCUUUCUGCCCUAGCCCCACCUUGGCUUUAAGAAUUAAUGUGCUUUCUUAAAGCUCAUUACUAAGAUUGGCUUUUAAGUUUAAACAGCCCUUUAGAUCCCUGAAGCCUCAUAAAUGUCUUUUAAGUCACAUGAAAAAGAUCCACACUUCUGAGGGAACAGGGGUGGAGCCAUAGGCGGUUCAAGACUUAGGACCAGACCAGAGCUGGGGAAGGGGCUGAGACAGGGCUACGGGCUCUGGCUAGACCUCAACAGCACAGAGACCUUCCACCAUCAGAGUCUGGGUAGACAAGGGGCAAAUGCAGAGAGGAAAAGUCCAAUUCUGAAGUUUUAUUUCAACUAUUGUAAAAUGCACAUAACACACCGAGCCAUCUUACCACAUCCAGGUGUGUUUCUAAAGCACCCCAGCUGUGACAGAGCAGACCACAACUUCAUGUGCCAACUGAAUGUUAUGCCCCUUCACGGUAACUCCUCACUCGCUUCCUUCCCGUCUCGGCAACUAACGCUCUGUUUUGGAUAGCAUAUCACCCAUUUAUCUUCAGAGGAUAAACGCAAAGAACCCCAGCACUGCCUGAGAUUUGAAGUACUAGCAGACCUGGUGUAUAUAUGUUUCCUCCUAUACAUGCAAACCUGUAAGGAAGCCUUACUUUUUACCUGUAGGGGGUUCUUUGGCAGAGUUCCCAGCACCCUCCAGCUCCUGCACUUUGGGCCUGUUAUUCAGUAGACUACGGGAAACUUUACCCUGCUAUGAUUUAUCUGGUAAUAGUCAGUGGAGAGAGGGAAGUAUACACCCUUUGAUACACUGGCUAUCAGAGUGACAGCCAUUAGGUUACUAUUCUAGGAAAGGAAAGAAUGGUCAUUCCUUCUGGUACACUUCCUGAGUGCCCCUGAGCUGAGCCUGUUUUCAUACAAUGUCCUGAACAUGGAUGUAGCCUCAAUUUGCUGCCUGAGAAAUGAGAUGUAGAAUCUUUGUUCUACAUAGCCAUGAACAAAUUUUAGAAAUCUGUUUUUUCUUACUGAGGAGGGCAUGAGGUCUGAAUAUUAGAGGCUGUUGGCUGUGCUUGUGAGAGAAUGAGGCAGGACUACAGAACGCUAGGAGAUGCUGUGAAUGCAGCGCCACGCCACUUCUGCUCCUGCAGUGUGUGCAUGAAUGUGCUCACGGGUAUGUGCACUCCCAUGCUAUGCCCAUGAAUUUGCAAGGUCUGCUUUCCUGUGUGUGUGCAUUUGGAGGUCGAGGUCAUUGUUAAGUGUCUUUCUCAAUCAUUCUCCACCUUCUUUCUUUUUUUGAAUAUUUAUCUAUUUAUUAUAUAUAAGUACACUGUAGCUGUCUUUAGACACACCAGAAGAGGGCAUCAGAUCUCAUUACAGAUGGUUGUGAGUCACCAUGUGGUCGCUGGGAUUUGAACUCAGGACCUCUGGAAAAGCAAUCAGUGCUCUUAACCCCUAAGCCAUCUCUCCCACCCCUCUACCUUAUUUCUGUUUUUCCCUUUUAUUUAUUUAUUAUGUAUAAGUACACUGUAGCUGUCUGCAGACACACCAGAAGAGGGCAUCAGAUCUCAUUACAGAUGGUUGUGAGCCACCAUGUGGUUGCUGGGAUUUGAACUCAGGACCUCUGGAAGAGCAGUCAGUGCUCUUAACCACUGAGCCAUCUCUCUAGCCCUACCUUAUUUCUUAAGACAGCCUCUCUCAUUGAACCUGGAGCUUGCCAACUUAUCUAGGUAGCUUAUCAGCAAGUCCCCUAGUAACUGCCUAUCUCUGACUCUCCAGUACGGAGAUUACAGUGUGUCCCACCAAACCCACAUAUAUUGUGUGGGUUCUGGGAAGAUCAAACAUAGGUUCUCAUGCUUGAACAGCAAGCACUUUACUGACUAACCUUCUCCACAGCCCCUUACAUUCCUUUUGGAAGAAGAUAGGCCAACAAUAAAAAGGAGAGUUAUGAACCUUGACCUUGAAGAGAAUUAGUCUGUUGGAGCCAACUCAUGCACUUGAAAAUAAUCCAAGGCACAGGAAAAAGACUUGAGCUUGCUCUUCAGUCUGAAUUGUAGAGCACAGGUGUUCCUCACACUCCUGGGAUGCUUUAGGAUUGGUGUGACUCAAGGUCACGGAGGAGUGGCCAGUAUCAACCCUCUCUUGAUCCUCUGAAGAAUGUCACCCUGUGUGUGGCUUGCUAUACCUCCCCCUCAUGGUUGUUGUCCCAGUUUAAUCAUUAACAAGAUGUUUUUAGACUGUCCUGUCCUAGCUUGAUAGUAGUUUCCAACAACCCAUGUUAGAAAUUCCUAGAAACUUGCUAAAACUGGGAUUCCCAGGUUGUACCUCAGAAACCACAGCCUCAACGUUGACCUGGGUAAGGUGGUGCACACCUAAAAGAAGAGGAUUGUGAACUUCAGGCCAGUCUGAGCUGUAUGGUGAGAUCUUGUCUCUAAAAUCCAAGCCAGCCAAGUCAGAAAAUAAACCUUGGAUAUAGAGGCUGAAGUGUCACCUUAGAGAUAGUCAAAUAGUGAAGUGGAAAGCCAGCAUCUAAGUGGCUGGCAUGACUGUGUGUCUGGCGUAUCACAGGACAGCGCCAGUGAGGACUGACAAGGAGCCACCUUUAGCAGCCUCCUAGCCCCAUAGCUUCAAGAUUCAGCCUUUAGCCUGGUUCCUUGCUAUUCAGAGCUUGCCAGUGGGGCACAUGCCCACUCAUGUCACUGUGGAGACAGCUGAGAGUAGGGUAUGCUAGUUGCCUUGUUCAGUCAGUGCCCGACUGAUAAACCAAUCAGAAUACCACAUCGUUCCUUAUAAACACAUACAGUCGUGUGUGUCUACUCAAAAUUUAAAAUAUAGGUUGUUGCAUGAGAGCUUGUUUGCCGUCUUCUGCGUGAGAGGAGGAACUGUUUUUUGUUUUUUGUUUUUUCCUUCUGGCUGAGUACCUGCUUCUGUGAGCAGGAAGGUGGAUGCCUUCAAGAAGACAGACCGUGCUUCUGGGCCAAGCUAAUGAUGGGUUAUGAGGUCACUGAGGUUCACGGACACCACUGGCCUCCCAGGCUCCUGCCUUUCUAACAUGGUCAUCUCAAGUGGCCUCUGGCACUUUCACCAAUGAAGGAUCUAAGCUAACACCUGAUACCUGUCAAGACUGAAAAGCGUCUGCAAUCAGAGGCUUUGGCAUGGCCCACUGAGGCCUGCAACCCUUGGGCAGGACUCAAGAGUCAGUCUUCUGCCACCAACUGGCUCCUGUCCUAGGAAAAGCUAAUCCAAGACAGGUGCUCACUAAUAAGGUGCAUCUCUAAAUGUUUCAGCCCCACGAGCAUGGCACUGGCUGACCACAAAACUGCCAAGAAAAGGGUCUCCAGCAAAACAAACAAACAAACAAAUCACUCUGGUGUUGUGGUGAGGGCCCAUCUAUAAUGCUAGCACCUUGGAGGUAGAGUCAAGACGUUCAGAUGUGGCCCUGUUGGAGUAGGUGUGGCCCUGUUGGAGUAGAUGUCUCACUGUGGGUGUGGGCUUUAAGACCCUUAUGCUAGCUUCUUAGAUGUCAGUCUCCCCUAGCAGCCUUCAGAUGAAGAUGUAGAACUCCCAGCUCCUCCUAUACCAUACUUUCCUGCAUGCUGCCAUGCUCCUGCCUUAUGAUAGUGGACUGAACCUCUGAACCUGUAAGCCAGCCCCUAAAUAUUGUUCUUAUAAGAGUUGCCUUGGUCUAGGUGUCUGUUCACAGCAGUAAAACCCUAGGACAAUCCCUAGGCAGGAAAACCCACCAAUCCCUAGGCAGGAAAGCCCACCAAUCCCUGAGCACAAAAACCUACCAAUCCCUAAACAGGAAACUCCAGCAAUCCCUAAGUGCCCCCAAACCCAGGACUUGAAAUCACUUGAAGUCACUCUGGAAAUCUCUGCCCUGAGAAGCUGCACUCUUCAGAAGUCCUAUAGAAGCCCUGCCCCCUUGUCCAGUUCCCCACUGUCCACUCCCAGGAGCAGAGGGCAGCCAUCCCUGGAUUCAUCCCUCCACACCCUGGACCCUCCAAUAAAUCUCCUUCAUGAGGG